ACCUAGCUAAACUAAAAAAUAAACAAAAACUUAAAUCUACCUUCUUACUCGAUAACUAUUCUUGAAUUUUGCUCAGGCUCUUUGUUUAAAUUUUUAUAUGGAUCCCACGUGUGGAGAUUGAUAUACAGUCUUGCCUAACAAACAAAUAUCUUGAUAAUCUCUAUUAAACUCCAUGAUAAAUCUUAAAAAGAUGAAUAAAUUUCUAUUUUUCAUUAUACACCAUGCUAAUAACCCAAGAAUAGGCUAAGGAACCUUGGCCCAUGGCGGCCGCUCUUUUAAUUUGCCUAUUUGAUAAUUGAGGCCAUCUCUUAACUUCCCUUUCAAUUUAAAGCGAGGCAAAGCCGGAAAGUAGCGGGAAAAUUUUACAACCCAACCCCAUUUUAUUUCUCUUUCUUCUCCUUUGCAACCAAAAAGCAGGAAAAAGAAGGGAGAGAAAAGAAAAUGGAAGAAUCGAAAUCCAAAGAGAAAAUUUGUUGGAGAAAAGAAGUAGAUCAGAACUUAAAGCGGCUCCAAUCACUGCUCUUCGGCGCCGAGCUGUGUCUCGAGAAGCGGGAAUUCCCGGAGGCUCAGCUCCUCUUGCUUAGGCUUCUCGGCUUCCUCGAUUCCGUCUCUCACUCUGAAGUCGAUCGGACCUUCACACGUCCCAUUCGUGACGACGUUGUCUCUAAGCUCGACUCGGCUCGCCGUGCCCUGGUCCAAGAAUCUGAUCGCCGAGCAUUUGAGCAAGCAGGUAAAGCUCCUGGUUGUGUUUUUGGGAUGAAAGGAGGUAUUGAUAUCGACAAAAUCAAGCAAUCAAAGUAUUUCUGUACACAGCUUCAGCAAUCUAAGGGAAAGGUUCUAAAUGAAUUGGGAGGACAACAAGAUAAGUUUAUUAGCAAGCCGUCUAAAGCUAUGACACAGGCCAAGUUGACAUCUCUGUAUGGAAACAAAAUUACAAGAGCAAAUAAUUGCUCAUACAAAAGUUCUUUGGACUCCAAAAAUAACAGUUCCAAAGACUGUUUUAUAGUGGAAAAGGGCCAUUCUUAUCACAGCUUUCCUAGGGGACAUAGUGUUUCAAACUUUACCAAAGUUGAAGAGGAAGAAAGAGUACAUGGAAAUAGCUUUGGGGCAAAGCGUGCAUAUAAAGAAAUCGGUAGCCCCAGAAACAACACUGCAAGGUCACCGCCAAGCAAUGAAGAAGUCAAUGCUGAUGUUUCGGGGAAUGCUUUUGUAACAGCAAGAGCAAAACUGGAAAUGGAUGUGAAACAAAAACGAGGGCUGGCUGGUUCUCCAAGUGCUUCUGUCUCCCCACAGAAUGAUAUCAAUUUCAGUUCUAGAGGUUAUGGUACAAAAUCCUAUGGGGUUUUGCGACGUGGAGUUCGUGGUAAUUUUGUACCCCCCAUAAGAUCUAAUGGUGGCAGUGUUGGAAAUGUGACAUCACGGAUUGGUGGAAAGAGUGAUGAUGCAUUAGAUGACACAACAAGGACAUGUUUGGAACUUCUUUGUGGUCCUGAUGGUGAACUUCCAGAAAAACUAAGGAAUUUGGAACCUCGCCUUAUAGAGCACGUCAGCAAUGAGAUCAUGGAUCGAGACCCAAACGUCCGAUGGGAAGAUAUAGCUGGCUUGGAGCAUGCCAAAAAAUGUGUGACAGAGAUGGUAAUAUGGCCUUUAUUACGUCCUGACAUAUUUAGAGGCUGUCGCUCUCCAGGAAGAGGUCUUCUUCUCUUCGGUCCCCCAGGAACAGGCAAAACAAUGAUUGGAAAAGCUAUAGCUGGUGAAGCAAAAGCCACAUUUUUCUACAUAUCUGCUAGUUCAUUGACAAGCAAGUGGAUUGGAGAGGGUGAAAAGCUAGUGAGGGCGCUUUUUGGAGUGGCCAGUUGUCUUCAGCCUGCUGUUAUUUUUGUUGAUGAAAUAGAUUCACUUCUAUCUCAGCGUAAGUCAGAAGGUGAGCAUGAAUCAAGUAGAAGACUCAAGACACAGUUCCUCAUUGAAAUGGAAGGCUUUGAUAGUGGCAGUGAGCAGAUUCUUCUUAUAGGAGCAACAAAUAGACCUCAAGAACUAGAUGAAGCAGCAAGGAGACGACUUACCAAGAGACUCUACAUUCCCCUUCCUUCAUCAGAAGCAAGAGCCUGGAUUGUUCGCAAUCUGUUGGAGAAGGAUGGACUAUUCAAGCUCUCAGAAGAGGAUAUCAGUGCCAUAUGCAGGUUAACUGAAGGCUACUCAGGAUCUGAUAUGAAAAACUUAGUAAAAGAUGCAUCUAUGGGACCUCUUAGAGAGGCUCUAAGACAAGGCAUAGAAAUUACACAGCUGAAGAAAGAGGAUAUGCGGCCAGUAACCCUUCAGGAUUUCGAGAAUGCAUUACAAGAGGUAAGGCCCUCAGUUUCUAUGAACGAAUUGGGUACAUAUGAAGAAUGGAACAAACAAUUUGGAAGCUUAUCACUCUAAUGAUUGAACAAGGAAACAAAAGAAAACGGAGAAUGUUUGGUAGAGAAAGAACUACGAUAGGAAGUUAAUCAAAGGAGAGGAGAAAUAGAUAAGGUUAAUCUUAAAGAAUCAGUUCAGGUGACUUAAAUAGUUCCAAACACUCGUGCAUGUGAUGAAGCAUUCUGACUAGGAAUUGAAGAUAAUUAUCUAUGUUCAGCUUCUACAGUCACAAACUUGUCCCCUGAAGGAUAACCACAUGAUUUUGAUAAA